UCAAAAAAAAAAGCCAGGGUUUCAAAGAAGAGAGGGAGACGUAGGUGAAGGGGAAAGGUUUCUUCAAACACUUGUUCAAUCAAUUGAAUCGGUGGAGACGUAGGUGAAGGGGAAAGGUCCAUUGAUGUAGUCCGUUUCCUUCCUCAGCAAAGCAAUCACGCUUUCCAUUGAGUCAAUUUGUAAUCUACUUCGACUUGGACUUGGCUUCAAUUUGUAAUCUGCUUCGACUACUUUGACUGCUACGCAAUUUCUUAUAUUUGCGUAGGCCCUUUCGAGGUUCUUCAAAGCCACACGCUAACACAGGCUGAUCAUCUUUCACAACCGGGAUCAACCCCUUUGACUGCAGAAGAGCUGUCAAUCAAAGUCCUAAAGCCAAGGUCUGGCUAUGUGAAGGGACUUGGCAUGAGAUCUUCAUCCUCUAUUAGGAGGACCACUACCAUAUAUGCUAAAACAAAUGAUUAUGUGAAGCGCCUUGAGAUGCAAAUAGAGACACAAAAAGAACAAAUACAAAUGCAAAACAAUAAAAUAGAAGAUCUUAAAGAAGGUAGGAAGAAGCAAGGGGAGAUAAUGGCUGAUAUUGUUAACUUUUUGAGGACCAAAGGAUUCACUGGACACUUUGGAAGUGGAGGGGACUCAUCCACAAAUGGACAUACUUCUUGAUUGGAUUGGGGUGGCAUUUUUGACCUGCAACAAUGAUGUAAUGUGCUUGAAUUUUUAUUUUGUUUGAUAAGGAUACACAUAUUUUGUGGAGUUGCACUAGUUAUUGUUGGAUGUUUGGUGGAAUUGUACAAGUUAUAACUUUUGGAUAUUUUGUGGAUAUUGCACAAUUUUAUUGUAUUAGGAUGAAAUUAUUUGUAAUGAUGAAUGGAUAUUUUCAUUUUGUUAAUUCGUAAAUGUGUUGAUGACAGGUUAGGUUAAAUUGUGAUGGAAUUGUUAUAUUCAA